UACAGAGGGGGCAAGCGUUGUUCGGAAUUACUGGGCGUAAAGGGCUCGUAGGCGGCCAACUAAGUCGGAUGUGAAAUCCCCAAGCUUAACUUGGGAACUGCAUCCGAUACUGGAUGGCUUGAAUCCGGGAGAGGGAUGCAGAAUUCCAGGUGUAGCGGUGAAAUGCGUAGAUAUCUGGAGGAAUACCGGUGGCGAAGGCGGCAUCCUGGACCGGCAUUGACGCUGAGGCACGAAAGCGUGGGGAUCAAACAGG
rnacentral:rRNA from 1 species